rnacentral:rRNA from 1 species
GAUGAACGCUGGCGGCGUGCCUAAUACAUGCAAGUCGAGCGAACGGACGAGAAGCUUGCUUCUCUGAUGUUAGCGGCGGACGGGUGAGUAACACGUGGAUAACCUACCUAUAAGACUGGGAUAACUUCGGGAAACCGGAGCUAAUACCGGAUAAUAUUUUGAACCGCAUGGUUCAAAAGUGAAUGACGGUCUUGCUGUCACUUAUAGAUGGAUCCGCGCUGCAUUAGCUAGUUGGUAGGUAACGGCUUACCAAGGCAACGAUGCAUAGCCGACCUGAGAGGGUGAUCGGCCACACUGGAACUGAGACACGGUCCAGACUCCUACGGGAGGCAGCAGUAGGGAAUCUUCCGCAAUGGGCGAAAGCCUGACGGAGCAACGCCGCGUGAGUGAUGAAGGUCUUCGGAUCGUAAAGCUCUGUUAUUAGGGAAGAACAUAUGUGUAAGUAACUGUGCACAUCUUGACGGUACCUAAUCAGAAAGCCACGGCUAACUACGUG